CGACCUCAGAGCAGGCGAGAUCACCCGCUGAAUUUAAGCAUAAUUACUAAGCGGAGGAAAAGAAAACUAACCAGGAUUUCCUUAGUAGCGGCGAGCGAACAGGAAAGAGCCCAGCACCGAAUCCCGCGGUUCCGCCGCUGGGAAAUGUGGUGUUCGGGAGGGUCGUUUAUCCCGAGGUGCCGCGUCGCGUCCAAGUCCAUCUUGAAUGGGGCCACUUACCCGCAGAGGGUGCCAGGCCCGUAGCGACCGGUGCGCGUCGGGAGGAUUCUCCUUAGAGUCGGGUUUGCUUGAGAGUGCAGCUCUAAGUGGGUGGUAAACUCCAUCUAAGGGUAAAUACGACCACGAGACCGAUAGCGAACAAGUACCGUGAGGGAAAGUUGAAAAGAACUUUGAGGAGAGUUCAAGAGUACGUGAAACCGUUCAGGGUAAACCUAAGAAACCCAAAAGAUCGAACGGGAGAUUCAUCGUCAGCGACGCUGGCCUCACGUCGGUGGCGUGCGGCGCGGGGCCUCGCGGCUCGCGCGCCCGCACGCUGCCGCGCGUCGACGUCCGGCGUUGUCGUCGUGCACUUCUCCCUAGUAGAACGUCGCGACACCGCUGGUGUCGGUCUACGGCUGGUGCGGUGACUGACGCGUCGCCGGUAAAACGGAACGCGUCAAACCCCCGGUCGCCCGGCGGUGCCCGGCGGUACAAACAGGUAUCAGGCCGCAGCUCUCACACCAGACGUGGCAACGGCCGCUCCCUCUCGCUCUCCCUCGGGGUGGGCGGGGGCACAGGGUGUGUUCGCCCGCGUCGGGAGUGUGCGUCGAGGCCGUCGCAAGCGCGCGCCACGGUACACGGAUUGUUAACGGACCUAGCGCCGUCACCGGUCCUGGCCCGCUGUUGGCUCGUACGGUUAACCUCGACAGGCCCGCAAACGCGUCCCCCGCGCCGCCGCAGACUCUCUGGGUCUGCGCGCGCGCGCCGGGAGCGCGAUACCGGUCGGCGACGCUACUGUUGGGUACUCUUAGGACCGUCUUGAAACACGGACCAAGGAGUCUAACAUGUACGCGAGUCAUUGGGACUGCUACCGGUAUACCUAAAGGCGUAAUGAAAGUGAAGGUCGGCCCUGGUCGUCGACCGCGGGAGGAGGGGCGCGUCCCGACGCGGCUCCGCACUCCCGGGGCGUCUCGUUCUCAUCGCGAGAAGAGGCGCACCCAGAGCGUACACGUUGGGACCCGAAAGAUGGUGAACUAUGCCUGGUCAGGACGAAAGUCAGGGGAAACCCUGAUGGAGGUCCGUAGCGAUUCUGACGUGCAAAUCGAUCGUCGGAACUGGGGAUAGGGGCGAAAGACUAAUCGAACCAUCUAGUAGCUGGUUCCCUCCGAAGUUUCCCUCAGGAUAGCUGGCACUCGGCCGUUCCCCUAACGGAACGCGCGCGAGUCUAUCUGUGUAAAGCGAAUGAUUAGAGGCCUUGGGGCCGAAACGACCUCAAACAUUCUCAAACUUUAAAUGGGUGAGAUCUCUGGCUUUCUUGAACUGUGAAGCCACGAGCAUCUCGGAUCGAGUGCCAAUGGGGCCAUUUUGGUAAGCAGAACUGGCGCUGUGGGAUGAACCAAAAGCAGAGUUAAGGCGCCCAACUCGACGCUCAUGGGACACCAUGAAAGGCGUUGGUUGCUUAAGACAGCAGGGACGGUGGCCAUGGAAGUCGGAAUCCGCUAAGGAGUGUGUAACAACUCACCUGCCGAAAAGCAAUAGCCCUGAAAAUGGAUGGCGCUGAAGCGUCGAGCCUAUACCUGCCGUCAGCGGCAAGUGGGGCGGCGCCGUGUCGGGCGCGCGUGCCUCGUGCGCGCGCGUGCGCGCGAAGCGCCGCCACGAGGCCCUGACGAGUAGGAGGGUCGGCGGCGGUGUGCGCAGAAGGGUCUGGGGCGAGACUGCCUGAGGCCGCCGUCGGUGCAGAUCUUGGUGGUAGUAGCAAAUACUCCAGCGAGGGCCUGGAGGACUGACGUGGAGAAGGGUUUCGUGUGGAACAGCCGUUGCACACGAGUCAGUCGAUCCUAAGCCCUAGGGAAACUCUAUGUCAAUGACGGCGUAAGAUACUCUAGUGUCGCACGCACGUUCUUAUUAUUAUUAUUAUUUUUUUAAUACGAGCGUGAGAGAGAUAUGGCUGACACACCCCGUCGGGCGAAAGGGAAUCCGGUUUCUAUUCCGGAACCGGAGGGAACCGCAUACAAUGGCCCUCGUAAGAGUGUUCGUCGGGGUAACCCAAAAGACCUGGAGACGCGUCGGGAGAUCGGGAAGAGUUUUCUUUCUGUAUAAGCGUUCGAGUUCCCUGGAAACCUCUAGCAGGGAGAUAGGGGUUGGAAAGCGAAGAGCACCGCAGUUGCGGCGGUGUCGGCCUUCCCCUCGGACCGUUGAAAUCCAGGAGAGGGCCACGUGGAGGUGUCGCGCGGUUCGUACCCAUAUCCGCCAGCAGGUCUCCAAGUAAAGAGCCUCUAGUCGAUGACUAAUGUAGGUAAGGGAAGUCGGCCAAUUGGAUCCGUAAUCGGAAUAAGGAUUGGCUCUGAGGAGGGGGCGUGUCGGGCUUGGUCGGGAAGGGGUCUGGCGACGUGCCGGGCUGGGCGAGGUGAACGCUCGUGUUCUCGGCCGAACGCGGGAUCCGAGCUCGGUUCCCGUGCCUUGGCCUCCCGCGGAUCUUCCUUGUGCGAGGCUUCCGUGGCGGCGCGAGCCGUGUGGGUCUCCUCUUCGGCCCGCCAUUCAACGCUAGCUCAGAACUGGCAGGACUAGGGGAAUCCGCUGUCUAAUUAAACAAAGCAUUGCGAUGGGCCUCGCGGGUGUUGACGCAAUGUGAUUUUUGCCCAGUGCUUGAAUGUCCAACGUGAAGAAAUUCAAGCAAGAGCGGGGUAAACGGCGGGGUAACUAGACUCUUUAAGGUAGCAAAUGCCUCGUCAUCUAAUUAGUGACGCGCAUGAUGGAUUAACGAGAUUCCCACUGUCCCUAUCACUACUAGCGAACCACUGCCAAGGAACGGGCUUGGAAAAAUUAGCGGGAAAGAAGACCUGUUGAGCUUGACUCUAGUCUGGCACUGUAAGGGACAUGGAGAGAGGUGUAGCCAAGUGGGAGAUGGCAAAUCGCCGUGAAAUACCACUACUUUCAUCGUUUCCUUACUUAUCGGUUGGGCGGAGCGCGUGCCCGAGGCUUCGUCCCCGGCGGUCACGGUGUUCUAGAGCCAAGGCGUGUCAGAGUGGCGUGAGGCCUCGGCCGAUCGCCGUAAUACUCCCGCGUGAUCCGAUCGAGGACACUUGCCAGGCGGGGAGUUGACUGGCGGGGGUACUAUCUUCAAAGAUAAACGCAGGUGUUCCUAAGGCAGCUCAGCGAGGACAGAAACCUCGCGUGAGCAAAAGGGCAAAAGCUGGCUUGAUCUCGAUGUUCAGUACGCAUAGAGACUGCGAAAGCACGGCCUAUCGAUCCCUUUGGCUUGAAAGAGUUUUCAGCAAGAGGUGUCAGAAAAGUUACCACAGGGAUAAAUGGCUUGUGGCGGCCAAGCGUUCAUAGCGACGUCGCUUUUUGAUCCUCGAUGUCGGCUCUUCCAUCAUUGCGAAGCAGAAUUCGCCAAGCGUUCGAUUUUCACCCGCAACAGGGAACGUGAGCUGGGGUUUUAGACCGUCGUGAGGACAGGUUAGUUUUACCCUAUGAUGACUCGUCAUUGCGAUAGUAAUCCUGCUCAGUACGGAGGAACCGCAGGUUCGGAACAUUUGGUUCACGCACUCGGUCGAGCGGGACGGUGGCGAGCUACCAUCCGUGGGAUUAGCCUGAACGCCUCUAAGGCCGUAUCCUCUCUAGUCAAAGGGGCAAUGAUAUCUCUAGGAGUCUCGUGAGUCGAAAGGCUCAAAACAAGUGACACACUACUAGGCGGCCGGCCCCUUUGCGACUCGGUCGUCGCACGAUGCCCGGUUUGCCGUACCCCGGCGCCAUCGUCCCGUCGUCCGGGAUCUCACCGUCUACUAGACGGCGCGGCGUCUAACGGGUUCGAACCUCGAAUGAGUUUCCGGCGAGUUUCGAUGUCGAUACGGAAUCGUCUGUAGACGACUUAGGUACCUGGGCGGGUGUUGACCGGAGAGCAGUUUACCACCACGCUCGAUACUGUGAGACUCACCCUCGGCUUGGGGAUUCGU